UUAGUCAGCUACUGAAGUCUUUUUAUGAUCAUCUUGUGGAAGACUUUACCUUGAAUAGCUUCUCAACUCAAUCUGGAUGCUGAUUAAGUUGAUGCUUAGAUCUUCUAUUAGCUUGCAUGUCAUUCGUUGAGUGCUCUCUGGCUUCCUUCAAGUGAGAUGUAUCUUUGCAUUACCAACCAGAGGCUUCAUUCCUUUGGAUAUUCUGGGAGUGCUCAAUUGUUGAGAAUCGUGUUUGCUCUACGAUUCUAUUGUGGCCUUGUGAGCACAUUUGUUAAGGUCUUAGCUCUGCAUUCUAUGAUUUAGCUUCGGCUGUGCAAACACUACGACUUUGAGAAAGAUCUUGAUACUACGAUUUGUCUUCAUCUGAUCUUGCUCGACUACGAUCUCUGCCUUUGAUACGAUCAGUAGACUCUACGAUUCUGAGUGCAGUCUACGAUUCUUGAAUUGGCUUUGAC
rnacentral:lncRNA from 1 species